rnacentral:rRNA from 1 species
CUGUUGCCUCGGCGGGAUCUCUGCCCCGGGUGCGUCGCAGCCCCGGACCAAGGCGCCCGCCGGAGGACCAACCAAAACUCUUUUUGUAUACCCCCUCGCGGGUUUUUUUAUAAUCUGAGCCUUCUCGGCGCCUCUCGUAGGCGUUUCGAAAAUGAAUCAAAACUUUCAACAACGGAUCUCUUGGUUCUGGCAUCGAUGAAGAACGCAGCGAAAUGCGAUAAGUAAUGUGAAUUGCAGAAUUCAGUGAAUCAUCGAAUCUUUGAACGCACAUUGCGCCCGCCAGUAUUCUGGCGGGCAUGCCUGUCCGAGCGUCAUUUCAACCCUCGAACCCCUCCGGGGGGUCGGCGUUGGGGAUCGGCCCUGCCUUUUGGCGGUGGCCGUCUCCGAAAUACAGUGGCGGUCUCGCCGCAGCCUCUCCUGCGCAGUAGUUUGCACACUCGCAUCGGGAGCGCGGCGCGUCCACAGCCGUUAAACACCCAACUUCUGAAAUGUUGACCUCGGAUCAGGUAGGAAUACCCGCUGAACUUAAGCAUAUCAAUAA